rnacentral:rRNA from 1 species
UGGGGAAUAUUGCACAAUGGGCGCAAGCCUGAUGCAGCCAUGCCGCGUGUGUGAAGAAGGCCUUCGGGUUGUAAAGCACUUUCAGCGAGGAGGAAGGUGGUGAGCUUAAUACGCUCAUCAAUUGACGUUACUCGCAGAAGAAGCACCGGCUAACUCCGUGCCAGCAGCCGCGGUAAUACGGAGGGUGCAAGCGUUAAUCGGAAUUACUGGGCGUAAAGCGCACGCAGGCGGUUUGUUAAGUCAGAUGUGAAAUCCCCGGGCUCAACCUGGGAACUGCAUUUGAAACUGGCAAGCUAGAGUCUCGUAGAGGGGGGUAGAAUUCCAGGUGUAGCGGUGAAAUGCGUAGAGAUCUGGAGGAAUACCGGUGGCGAAGGCGGCCCCCCUGGACGAAGACUGACGCUCAGGUGCGAAAGCGUGGGGCAGCAAACAGGAUUAGAUACCCUGGUAGUCACGCUGUAAACGAUGUCGAUUUUGGAGGUUGUGCCCCUUGAGGCGUGGCUUCCGGAGCUAACGCGUUAAAUCGACCGCCUGGGGAGUACGGCC